AGAGUUUGAUCAUGGCUCAGGAUGAACGCUGGCGGCGUGCCUAACACAUGCAAGUCGAGCGAUCUUCUUCGGAAGAGAGCGGCGGACGGGUGAGUAACGCGUGGGUAACCUGCCUCAUACACAUGGAUAACAUACCGAAAGGUAUGCUAAUACAAGAUGAUAUAAGAGAUUCGCAUGGAUUUCUUAUCAAAGCUCCGGCGGUAUGAGAUGGACCCGCGUCUGAUUAGCUAGUUGGUAAGGUAACGGCUUACCAAGGCGACGAUCAGUAGCCGACCUGAGAGGGUGAUCGGCCACAUUGGAACUGAGACACGGUCCAAACUCCUACGGGAGGCAGCAGUGGGGAAUAUUGCACAAUGGGCGAAAGCCUGAUGCAGCAACGCCGCGUGAGCGAUGAAGGCCUUCGGGUCGUAAAGCUCUGUCCUCAAGGAAGAUAAUGACGGUACUUGAGGAGGAAGCCCCGGCUAACUACGUGCCAGCAGCCGCGGUAAUACGUAGGGGGCUAGCGUUAUCCGGAUUUACUGGGCGUAAAGGGUGCGUAGGUGGUUUCUUAAGUCAGGAGUGAAAGGCUACGGCUCAACCGUAGUAAGCUCUUGAAACUGGGAAACUUGAGUGCAGGAGAGGAAAGUGGAAUUCCUAGUGUAGCGGUGAAGUGCGUAGAUAUUAGGAGGAACACCAGUAGCGAAGGCGGCUUUCUGGACUGUAACUGACACUGAGGCACGAAAGCGUGGGGAGCAAACAGGAUUAGAUACCCUGGUAGUCCACGCCGUAAACGAUGAGUACUAGGUGUCGGGGGUUACCCCCCUCGGUGCCGCAGCUAACGCAUUAAGUACUCCGCCUGGGGAGUACGCUCGCAAGAGUGAAACUCAAAGGAAUUGACGG
rnacentral:rRNA from 1 species